AUUGAACGCUGGCGGCAGGCCUAACACAUGCAAGUCGAGCGGAUGAAGGUAGCUUGCUACCGGAUUCAGCGGCGGACGGGUGAGUAAUGCCUAGGAAUCUGCCCGGUAAUGGGGGAUAACGUUUCGAAAGGAACGCUAAUACCGCAUACGUCCUACGGGAGAAAGCAGGGGACCUUCGGGCCUUGCGUUAUCGGAUGAGCCUAGGUCGGAUUAGCUAGUUGGUGAGGUAAUGGCUCACCAAGGCGACGAUCCGUAACUGGUCUGAGAGGAUGAUCAGUCACACUGGAACUGAGACACGGUCCAGACUCCUACGGGAGGCAGCAGUGGGGAAUAUUGGACAAUGGGCGAAAGCCUGAUCCAGCCAUGCCGCGUGUGUGAAGAAGGUCUUCGGAUUGUAAAGCACUUUAAGUUGGGAGGAAGGGCAGUCAGUUAAUACCUUGCUGUCUUGACGUUACCAACAGAAUAAGCACCGGCUAACUUCGUG
rnacentral:rRNA from 1 species